UGCUUUACACAUGCAAGUCGAACGGAAUCUUUAGGGAUUUAGUGGCGGACGGGUGAGUAACGCGUAAGAAUCUACCUUCAGGUCGGGGACAACCACUGGAAACGGUGGCUAAUACCGGAUGUGCCGAGAGGUGAAAGGCUUGCUGCCUGAAGAAGAGCUUGCGUCUGAUUAGCUAGUUGGUGGUGUAAGAGACUACCAAGGCGACGAUCAGUAGCUGGUCUGAGAGGAUGAUCAGCCACACUGGGACUGAGACACGGCCCAGACUCCUACGGGAGGCAGCAGUGGGGAAUUUUCCGCAAUGGGCGAAAGCCUGACGGAGCAAUACCGCGUGAGGGAGGAAGGCUCUUGGGUUGUAAACCUCUUUUCUCAGGGAAGAACAGAAUGACGGUACCUGAGGAAUAAGCAUCGGCUAACUCCGUGCCAGCAGCCGCGGUAAUACGGAGGAUGCAAGCGUUAUCCGGAAUGAUUGGGCGUAAAGGGUCCGCAGGUGGCAUUGAAAGUCUGCUGUUAAAGAGUCUAGCUCAACUAGAUAAGAGCAGUGGAAACUACAAAGCUAGAGUUUGGUCGGGGCAGAGGGAAUUCCUGGUGUAGCGGUGAAAUGCGUAGAUAUCAGGAAGAACACCAGUGGCGAAGGCGCUCUGCUAGGCCGAGACUGACACUGAGGGACGAAAGCUAGGGGGGCGAAUGGGAUUAGAUACCCCAGUAGUCCUAGCCGUUAAACGAUGGAUACUAGGCGUAGCUCGUAUCGACCCGAGCUGUGCCGGAGCUAAACGCGUUAAAGUAUCCCGCCUGGGGGAGUUACGCCAGGCAACUGUUGAAACUCAAAAGGAAUUGACCGGGGGCCGCACCAGCGGUGGAGUAUGUGGGUUUAAUUCGAUGCAACCGCGAAGAACCUUACCCCAGGGUUUGACCUUGGCCCGGAAUCCUGUAGAAAUAUAGGAGUGCCUUCGGGAGCGUGAACACAGGUGGUGCAUGGCUGUCGUCAGGCUCGUGUCGUGAGAUGUUGGGUUAAGUCCCGCAACGAGCGCAACCCUCGUUUUUAGUUGCCAGCAUUAGGUUGGGCACUCUAGAGAGACUGCCGGUGACAAACCGGAGGAAGGUGGGGAUGACGUCAAGUCAGCAUGCCCCUUACGUCUUGGGCUACACACGUACUACAAUGCUACGGACAAAGGGCAGCUACACAGCGAUGUGAUGCGAAUCUCAUAAACCGUAGCUCAGUUCAGAUCGAAGGCUGCAACUCGCCUUCGUGAAGGAGGAAUCGCUAGUAAUUGCAGGUCAGCAUACUGCAGUGAAUUCGUUCCCGGGCCUUGUACACACCGCCCGUCACACCAUGGAAGUUGGUCACGCCCGAAGUCGUUACCCCAACCGCAAGGGGGGGGAUGCCUAAGGUAGGACUGAUGACUGGGGUGAAGUCGUAACAAGGUAGCCGUACCGGAAGGUGUGG
rnacentral:rRNA from 1 species